GUAGCAGGGACUGAGUGUAUGGCUGGAUCUAUUUUACUUCGAAUCGACGCCAUAGAUUGGGCUUGGAAUGCGUUGGCAUGUCGCAAAAGCUUGCGGAAGAACACUAAAGAAAUGGAGUCACAACGCGGAAGACGAAGUCACGGCGAGGUUGAAUAAAGAUCCAAAUUCUGUGUCUCUGUUUUGUAUAUGAUGUAAAUGGUCCUGAUACUUGAAAUGCCUUGUAUAGCUUUCCUGUAACUUUUGAGAAAAUGUAUUUCAAAGUUUAAGUAUAGAACUUGAAAGGUUCUUGUAGUUUCAAAGUUGAAGAUGUAUUCUGGAGUUUUUUAUGUUAUGGAACUUAAAUUCUUUUUGUA